rnacentral:rRNA from 1 species
AGGACCCUGGUCCUCUCUUGUUGGUUUUGAGCCUUGGUAAUGGUUAAUAGGAACGGUUGGGGGCAUUCGUAUUUAACUGUCAAAGGUGAAAUUCUUAGAUUUGUUAAAGACGAACCACUGCGAAAGCAUUUGCCAAGGACGUUUUCAUUAAUCAAGAACGAAAGUUAGGGGAUCGAAGACGAUCAGAUACCGUCGUAGUCCUAACCAUAAACUAUGCCGACUAGGGAUUGGAGGUCGUCAUUUUCCGACUCCUUCAGCACCUUGAGAGAAAUCAAAGUCUUUGGGUUUCUGGGGAG